UACGGAGGGUGCGAGCGUUGUUCGGAAUCACUGGGCGUAAAGCGCGUGUAGGCGGCCCACUAAGUCUGAUGUGAAAGCCCGGGGCUCACCCCCGGAAGUGCAUUGGAAACUGGUGGACUCGAGUCCCGGAGAGGAGAGUGGAAUUCCUGGUGUAGCGGUGAAAUGCGUAGAUAUCAGGAGGAACACCGGUGGCGAAGGCGGCUCUCUGGACGGUGACUGACGCUGAGGCGCGAAAGCGUGGGGAGCAAACGGG
rnacentral:rRNA from 1 species